rnacentral:lncRNA from 1 species
AAACUUGAGAACUAUCCAUCAGGCAACCCUCUGAAGUACCGGUACCAUACUCAGGUACCGAUACUCAAUACUCCAAUCUGAACUUUACAGAUUUUAGUGUUAAGCACUCGUCCUGGCAUUUAUAAUAUUGAAAUUAAAUGCCAAUAUCCCCCCAACCACGCUCAAACAAGUAAAAUAGUUUCGAUUACUAUUCCAGCACUAGAACCUUGCAAUUUGCUAAAGUUCAGUGUACUACAGAUCAUCAAUGGGUUUUGCUAUAGGGAAACUCUUCUCAUCAAUCUGUGGAUUUUAUUUGUUAAUCUUAUCAUUUUUAGUUUGUUUUUUGGUUUAAGACAAUUUUUCACAAUUCGAUCUAAUUUACAAAUGAUACAAUGCUCUGAUCCACAAAUGAAAUUUUUUUUUUUUUUAAUAUAAUAUUUCUUAAUUUAUCUUAUAUACUUAUAUAAGAAUAAAAAUAUAGUUUUUUUUUUGGAGACAAUCCAAACACCUAAAAACAGAGUUUUUUUUAAUAGAGUAUGGAGUAUUUCAGCAUANAUCUAAUUUACAAAUGAUACAAUGCUCUGAUCCACAAAUGAAAUUUUUUUUUUUUUUAAUAUAAUAUUUCUUAAUUUAUCUUAUAUACUUAUAUAAGAAUAAAAAUAUAGUUUUUUUUUUGGAGACAAUCCAAACACCUAAAAACAGAGUUUUUUUUAAUAGAGUAUGGAGUAUUUCAGCAUAUCAAAUACAUUGUAAAAUAAAACUUUAUUUUUUUCACAACUAUUGCCAAACAGGCCCUUAAUGGAGAAACCCAUGCGAUGCAACGGUUAAAAAUUAUAAUAAAAAUUUAUAAAUUAAAGUAUACAAAUAAAAACAUAAAAAAUAGCAGAAAACAACUAUAUUUGAUUAGUUAAUAAUAAUAUAUUAUUAAAAAAAUUAGAGUUAAAAUAUAAUCCCGUGGAGAAUAAAGAAAAGAAAACCAAAAAAAAACUAUAGAAGAAUAAAAAUUAUUGUCAUAGAUAGGAACUAAAAAAACAUAAUUUACUACAAGAAUAAAAAAGAAAGAAAAGAACCUAGAGGUGAUUUUGUUGGGGUUGGUUUCAUUACUCGAUGAAUUAUAACAGGCUCUGAUUUUUUUUUUUCUACAUUCAAACCAAGUUUCAAAAAAAAAAAAAGCAAUUAAAAAAAAUAGUGGAGAAAAGAAUAUUUUUUUUUUCUUUUGAGAAUAAAAUUUUCUUUUAAUUAUAGAAAUGUAAAAUCUGACUUGAGGAGGGCUCCGAAUUUAUAGCUAUUCGAUUCAUCGACACGUGCUUCUUCUCUACAUUAAAUCAAAUCAAAAUUAUAAAAAUUAGUAUUUAAAAAUUAUUGAUAAUGAUUUGAAACCUAUAAAUGCUAUUUUAAUCCUUAGAGACAAUGCAUCGGACAGCUGGCGUGCAUGAUAAACAAUCCCGAUGCUGCGAUAUCGAUGCAAAUGAUAACUUUGUAAACCUCUUCCUAAAAUCCAAAGGAACGAAUUUCAUAUUAGAAGGUUUGAUUAAAAAAAAAAAAUCAUAGAAAGAGAGAGAGAAAGGGAGAGAGCUUAGACUGUCAAUGAUGGAGUCGAAUUGGACGUUAAAGGCGAUAGAGAGGGAGGAGGUUUGAGAGGAGGUGAGGAAGCAAGCUAUGCAACCAUAGCACACAAAGAGGAGGCCAUGGCAAGGGAUAAUUUAAGAGUCGUAGUGAUUUGUGAAGCUUCUCAGCGUAGUAGCGAAACCUCUAGCAACAUAUACCACAUCCACUAGAAAUGACACGAUUACUAACUCCUCUAUUUAGGAGGGGGGGAAGAGAGAGGAUGUAACUAUCCAGCCCACUACCAAUAAUAACUCGUUGGACCCAAAUCACCGACCCAAAAUACUUAAGCUAGUUAUUAUUACUAGGGUGGAGUCCUCUUGUGUGCCCAAUAACAAUCCCAUUCUUAUCCGAUGUUGAACUAUUAAGGUGUCAUAGAGGAAGAAGAAGAGGAAACAAAAAAGUUUAAGAUAAAAAAGGGUGAUUAGGAUUUUGGAAAGAGAUGAGGGUGUGUAUGAUAAUUGAGAGAUGAGGAGAGGUGAGAGGGUGCACAUUUUGUAAAAAUAUGAAGGGAGGUAAAGAGAUGUAUAAUUUAGAAAAUAUAAAGGGAGGUGAAGGAGGAUUUGAAAAAAGAUCAAUGGGGUGUACGUUUUGGAACCAGAUAAAAUAAUAUAAGGGGUGUACGGUGAGGGGGGAUGGGAUGGUACUAAAAGAAAAUCUAGUUUGGUAUGGAUGGAUUCGGUUCGGUUUGGUUCAAGAAAAGUGAGAAGGUGAAAAGGUGUAAAUAGAAAAUCCGGUUCAAAAGCGAAGAAAUAUUACUAGACCAAACCCUAGAAUAAAGAGAAAAGAAAAAUCGGACCGGACCCAAAAUAGACCGGGAGGUGCAAAUAGAAAAUCCGAUUCAAAGAUAACAAAACAUUACUGAACCAAACCAAAAAUGAAGAAGAAAAAAAGAAUGGAUCAAACCGAAAAGAGAACUUGGCAAAUGAAGAUGGCUCGAGAGAAUAAAAACUGGUUUAGUGCAUUCGGUUCAAAGAAAAAUUGUGUUUAAAAAUAGAGCCCACAAUCCAAACAUCUUAAGUGAACGAAAUAUUGCCAUGUGGCAAUAAAAAAAAACAAACUGAAACCAAAAGAAUACUUGGUAAUUGAAGAUGGUUUAAGAGAAUAGAAAUCGGUUUAGUUCGCUCAAUUCAAAGCAAAAAUUAUAUUUAAAGAUGGAGCCCAGAAUCCAAAUAUCUUAAGUGAAGGAAAUAUUGCCAUGUGUCAAUUUUAUUGGGAAUUAAUAUAACUAGUGAAGGAACCUGCGCGUUGCAGCGGAUAGAUAUUGUUGAAGUAUAAACUGUCUCAAAUUUUUCUUAAACAUCAUGUUAGGGCAACAAUAUAAUAUAAGUGCAUCGUUUGCAUUUUAAGCUGUUGCAUAAAUGACCACUUUACAGUAAUUCCUAUACAUAUAUAUUGCACUUAAAAUAUAAUAUACAUGAUAAGUUUAUAAAUAGCAUAUUAGUUUUGAUAGACUGAAGCAGAAAAUUGGCAUAUGCAACACAAAGGCCACAUAAAAUUUUAAAACAAAAAAUCGAAAAGAAGAAGUUAAUUAUUAAUGCAUAAUUGGCUCUAUCAAUGGUUUUUUUUUUUUUUAUAAUCUCAAAUUCUAUGUAAUUGAAGACUCAUAGAGAUGCACUUUUAAAUUCUCGAUUUUGUUAGUUUGCAAAUCCACCUUUCAAAGAGAACAAAAGAAGCAAAAGAGGAAAAAAAAAAAUGUUAUCAAAUAAAAAUCCAUAUAUGCGAAUUUGCAAAAGUACAUUUUCAAUUGUCAAAAUUAAGGUCUUCGCUUGGUUGCUUUAUUGGCGCAGAUCUUGUAGAGCAAUUAUCUAUUUAAGAAUUCACUUGCUUAGUAAACUUUGUUUAAAUAAUAUUAAAAAAUAAAAACUAAAGCAAGAAAUCAAUGAUGAAGACAUUAGCCAACCAAAAAUAUAACAUAAUCAAAUCCUUGAAGAUGCUGCCAAAAGAGAGAAAAUCUAUAAAAUCAAACAAUUACAAAAAAAUUAAAAAGUGAUUGGGCAAACAAAGGCUAGUUAAUUAUCAGAAUUAAUAUUUGUUGAUGUACCAAAUAGUUCCCAAUCUCUUCCCUUUAGCUAGAAAUCAAACUAUCUUAGAGGAAAAAUGUAAGAUGUUGAAUCCCCGUCAUAAUAAACUACUUUUGGUCAAAGUGACCAAAGCGUGGCGAGAGGGAUGCUUGGAUAUGGUCCAUGUGACAUUCCAAUAAUAUUGGAAGGGUUAAAGUUGAACCCCAAGUGAGGUAAUCGAGUAUUAGCAUUGCUCGGCGCAAACUAGAAGUCGAACAAGUGCUGAACUGCAGUUUGGGCACUUUGUAACCGGUUAAACAUGGGGGUGGUACCGGUACCAAGCAGGCGUCCGAGAACAGCUGCUCUCAGGUUCGAGUAUUUUUGGCUGUUAAACCGGUGACACCCUUGGUAUGUACCGGUACCAGAUCAGCUAGCCUAGAAGGCUGCUCUCGGGUUGGCUGCUACGUAAUCGUUAAACCGGUGACAAGAAUCCUGCGUACCGGUACCAAGUGCAGAAAAACUGCAGAUUGCAGUAGGUUGCAAAUAACAAUUGUUGAGGGGCUUUUAUGCAAUUGUGACAACCUAUAAAAGGACCCCAUCUCUCCCUUUCUUGUUCACAGCCACGGAAAUAUCCCAUUUUCUCCAUUUUCUCCCUUUCUCUCUCUAGAAGCUCUCUCUCAAAGGUGGGGGUUAGACUGUUAGAGUAAGGGUUGGUAGAGAUUGAAGCUUGAAGUGGAUUUCAUCAUCUUCUUCUUCUUCCCUAGCUUGGCGGAAGUGCUUGGUUGAGGUAAUGUUAGGAAGUGAAUUCUCGAAACUCGAGGAUUAGACUUCGACUAGAAUCGACUAGUUGUCGAGUGCGUAGGCUUCGUAGAGUCUGAAGGUAAUUAUAAUGCAUAAAGUGCAUUAAAGAAGGGUCCGUGGGAGCACCAGUGCAAAAUCUGCACUGGAGCAGAAUUGCUCUCGGGGACCGGUCCCUGGCAGGGAGGGACCGGUUCCAUCAGGCUGGGCUGCGGGGGUCUCUGAUGAGACCGGUCCCUGGUAGUGAGGGACCGGUUCCCGAACGUUGGCCCAGCGAUAAUAGCCAAAAUUUGGCUAAGUCCCGAAAACUCAGCUUUCGGGAACCGGUCUCUCAGACAAGGACCGGUCUCCCGGGGACCGGUCUCUCAGGCAAGGACCGGUUCCCGAACGCGAAAUCCCCUCUGCUCGAAAUGGCAGCCUUCGGGGACCGGUCUCCCCGAGCUGGGACCGGUCCCUCACUGCGAAAAUGCCCAGAGAAGGCUGGUUGGAAGGAUGAAAAGUUGAGGGGGCUAUUUGCAAAAUGGCCUUUAAUAGAGGUGGGGGACCCCUCUCUUUUCCUCAUUGCUCUUAUUUGCUCUCUCUCCCUCCUUCACUCUUUCCCUCUCUCUCUCAAGAAAGAAAAGAAGGAAAAGAAGAAGGAGAAGAAAGAAAAGAAGGAAAAGAGGAAGAAGUAGAAGGAGAAGUUCAAGAAGAAGAAGAAGAAGGUCUUCUUCUCUCUCUCCUUCAAGCUAGGGCAAGCUUGGAGCUUGGCUUAGAGGUAAACUCCAAACCCAUCCAUGGUAGAUUUCUUAGGAUUGGGUUUUGUUGCUUAGAAUUGGUUCGAAUGGAACCUAGAGGAGAUGAAUAGAUAGUUCGAGCUCGAAAUCGAAGCUCGCACCACGGAUUUCUCCCUCGUUGCCAUUCUAGGGCACGGAUUUGGGAUUUUGGCAAAUCUAGGGUUUUGAUCUAUUUCAAUGGGUCGUAAACCUAAUUGCUAGGUCUCGGAACGCGUCGGCGAAGACGGUUUGCCGAUCCGACGAGCGAGUGCGGAGUUAUUGCCGAAUCGGGUACUCGAGGGCUCGCUUCGCCCCGAGGAGUUGAAGCGACGUGCAAAGAUCGCAAUGUCGAGUUUUCUAUCGUCGCGGCAUCGCCAAGAGGUGGGUGGUGUCCAUCCCGAAGCAAUUGGGCUCCCUUCUAUGUCUUAGUACAUGUCGACCCUUGCAUCUUGUAUUAUUGCAUUAUGUAUUAUUGCAUUAUAGGAUGAUUGUGCAUUGCCUUUCCUUAUGCUUUCCUUGAUGAUAUUGUAGCAUGUAUUAGAUAUUUGGUAUUGUGGAUCGAUAAGGAUUGGGUCGAGAUUUGUGAAUCCUAUAGUGCAAAGAAAAAGAUUGACUCAAUGGUUGGUCUAAUGUUAAACAAAGAACGAGUGGCAUCUAGUCGAUAGUAAACAAAUGAACGAGUGACAUUUAGUUGAUAGUAAGCAAAAGAACGAAUGACACAUAUGAGUCGUAGUGUAUGUGAGACCUAUGGAUUAUAUGAUGAUUGUAACCCUAGAGGAUAGGGUAUUCUCGAGACGAGGAUUGGAUCAUGCUCACGGUCUGUUUUAAAUCUUGUGAUGGAAGCCCCGCACAAGUAGUGCGCUCUGGAUGUUGGUCACGUGGGAUUGCCUAUCUUGGGUCCCAAGGGAUUUGCCUAUUUGGCCCCGCCAGACGGUCUCGGUUCGUAGUGCGAGUUGACCCUCCCUACCUUCGAGAUGGCUAGUGAGCUGUAGGCGAGCCUUCGGGUAAGCCAUGNUUAAAUCUUGUGAUGGAAGCCCCACACAAGUAAUGCGCUCCGGAGUUGGUCACGUGGGAUUGCCUAUCUUGGGUCCCAAGGGAUUUGCCUAUUUGGCCCCGCCAGACGGUCUCGGUUCGUAGUGCAAGUUGACCCUCCCUACCUUCGAGAUGGCUAGUGAGCUGUAGGCGAGCCUUCGGGUAAGCCAUGAGAUUAAUGAACAAGUAAAUGAGGUUAAUAAACGAGUGAAUAGCUUCACCUUUGGACAUGAUAACAGGUUAGUUGCUUACCAAUUCAUUGGACAUGCAUUCAUAUAUCUAUGAUUGGGCAUAGUAGUGUAGCUUUACUUUCCUGUCCUUACAGUUUUUCCUAUUAUUUAUAUAUCGGUAUACCUACUUGUGCCCGCUUGGACCUAGUGGGGAGAUCGGCGGAGUCGGCGGCCGAACCCACUGGGAACUAAGGAAGUUAGUUCUCACCCCCAUUUUUACCACAGGUUCGAGUUCGGGUGUCCCCGGUGAGCGUGAGGAUCGCGGUAAGGGCCCGGCGCUCUAGUCGCAUUAGCUACCUCCCCUUUUCAUUAGCUGUCACCCUUUUUGUAUUUUGAGAGUAGAUGUUGUAUAGGGUGAGGUUUGAGUGCUUGUAUUCAUAUUUUGGAAGAAAGUAAAAGAUGUAAUUGAAUGUAUUAAGUCAAAUGAAUGUAAUAGAUAGCCUCUUCUCUCUUUAUGUACUUGUAUAUGUUUUAUACUUGUAUUCUUGCUCUCGUCUUGUUGCACUGGUGGUGCUUCUUGAUCGUGUAUUUAUGAAUUGAUCCUGGAUAAAUUCUUAUACCUGAUCUGUUGGUUAGCCUUGGCCGGACAGGGGAGGUCCUGUCCGUUCGGCGUCUGUUCGACGCGCCGGGCCGGACCAAAUUGGUAGCGGUCUCGGGGCGUGACAGGUAAGCUCUUUGAGCAACAAUGGUAGAUUUCUAGGGUUGAUAUUUUAUACUCUAGAAAUGGUUUUUAUGGAACCCUUAGAUGCUAAGUAGAUGUUUAUUGCUCGAAUCAUGAAGCUACGCGAUGGAUUCUUGCAAUAGUUUCGAUCUAGGUUUCUGAAAUGGGUUUUGUGAAAUAGAGAUCCAAAGUUGGGAUUGAUCACUUUUAUACCUAAUUGCUAGGUAUUCUGACGCGCUGGUAAAGUCGGUUCGACGAUCCGUCGAGCCUACGCGAAGAUAUUGGCGAAAAGGACAUUUUCGGCUUCGUUUCCGCCUGGAAGGUCGAGGCGGCGUCCAAAAAUCACGAAAUCGGAUUCGUGGACUCGUGGCAUCACCUAAAGGUGGGGGGGUGUCAUCCAGAAGCAACUGGGCUUCCUUCUAUGUCCGAGUUAGAUUAUUGAUCAUGUUUCACAUAUUGUUCUUAUGCAUUAUAGGAUGAUUGGUAUAGUUGCAUUCUAUUUCCUUGCAUGCGUCCUUAGUAGUGUAGUAUUGUGGGCUUGACACGUGAAUCUAGGGUGCAUGAGGAUUAGGUCAUGUGACACGAGAUCCUAUAGUGAUAAGAAAAUGGUGAACUUGAACUUGAUGAUGAAAACCAAUGACUUGUGAACUAGUGUAGUGGAAACACUUAUAACUUGGACGAGUGGCAUGUAAAUUAGUGUGGUUGAGACACUUACAACAUAAUGAUGUAAACGAGUGGCAUUGGAACUUAGUGUAAAAGAAACACUUAUGACAUAGCGAACUUAGGGAAUAGGUGAGUUUCCCUAGUUAUGACACAUUGCAUGAGAACUUAGUGUAGUUGAGAUACUAUAGCAUUGAACAUAGGGAUAGGUGGAUUCCCAAGUGUUUGUUAACCCUAGUUGACAGGGUAUCCUCAGUUGGCGAGGAUUGGAUCAUACUCAUAUAGUCUGUUUUGAGCUUGGGGUGGUACUCCACACAAGCAGUGCACUGCGGAGUUGUCACACGAGCGAGGUAGCUCCUCAUCUGUGAGACUUGAGAUGUGAGUCGAGGCGAAGAACGGGGUAGCUCUUCACCUAUGAGAUUUGGGAUCUGAGACGGGGCGAAGAGCGGGGUAGCUCUUCACCUAUGGCAUUCGAGAUGCGAGUCGGGGUAAAGAGCGGGGUAGCUCUUCACCUACGAGAUUUGAGAUCUGAGUCGGGGCGUAACCUUCGGGUUAGCCAAGUGGAUUGGGUAAUGAUCUUAUGAGAGAUAUGCCUUUGAGUGUAGUAGAUAUUGCAUUCAUGCUUGAUGUAGAGAUAUAGUAGCAUGUUAGUUGGAUACAUUGCUAUAUUCAUUUAUUCUUUUUUUUCUCAAGGCAUAGUAGCAUGUUGCAAUUUCUUCAUUAUGUAUCAGUUCAUUUUUAGAUAUCUAUCUAUCUAUCUAUCUGUUUAUGCCUGCUUAGAUCUAGUGGGAAGAUUAGCGGAGUCGGCGACCGAACCCACUGGGAACUAUAUUUAUAUAGUUCUCACCCCACUUUGUUGCAGGGCCGAGUUCGAGCGUUCCGGGGGAGGAUCGCGGUAAGGGCAUAGCGCCCUAGUUAGCUAGUAGUGGCUUUUCUUCCGUACUAGAGUACCCUCGUGUACAUAAGUGAUAUGGAUGUAUUUUGGAGAGCACCUAUGUAUGUGUGAUGGAUAUGUAUCCAGAUGUUGAGAUGAACUUGUAUUCAUUUUUGGGAGAUGAAAAUAUAAAUCAAGAGAUGUAAAUGUGGAAUUGUGAUGUAAUAGUUAGAACUCUCUCUUUUGUUUAGUUGUGGUAUUACUUACUUGCUUUUGUGUAUGCUUGUGAAAUUACUCGCUUGCUAGAUCAUGUAUGUUGUUAAGUUUUUCCUGGACAACUUGUUGUGCAUGAUCUUGUUGUUUUAGCCUUAGGCGGAUAGGGGAGGUGCUGUCCGUUCGGCGUCUGUUCGACGUGCCCGAAUCGACCAAACUGGCUAUCGCGGGGCGUGACAGGUAAAGUGGUAUCAGAACAAGCUAAGAGCAAGUAAAGAGAGAGUCUAGGAUGGGCCUAGGAGACUUUAGGAUGGUAACCUUAAGGCUAUAGGCGCAUGAGUGGAACGUGAACCUAUAACGGUGGUGGAAGUUUAUUCGAUUGGGUCGAAAUGGUAGUAUAUUUCUAGUAGUGGCUGGAGACGGAUUGUCACGCCCCAGACCGCACCACCCGAAAACGGUACCAAUUUGGCACGGUUCGGGCGCGACGGCGCGACCGCCGAACGGACGGAGUUUUCCCCGUCCACCCAAGGCUAAGCAACAGAUUGUGUACAACAAGUCUCCAGGAAAAACAACUUGCACUCAUACACAAUCAACAACGAAACGAGAGCACAAACAGUGCUACAACCAACUAGAGCAAGCGAUACAAGUAAAACCAUACAAGUAUACAAAAGAGAGAAACUUAGCUAAUUGAGAAAUAAUUGAAAUGUUAAACCUCUUUCAACAUCAUUUAAACUUUAAUCAUUUAAUACGACUUGCAUUCUUUUUCCAAAAUGUAAAUACAUUAUAACCUCUCAAAAACCUCACCCUAUCAAUCAUCUACUCUCAAAAUGUAAGCAAUAGUACAGGGUAGAGAACUAAUGCAAGUGGGAAGGGUAAAGCUAUCAACCAAACCGCUAGGGCGCUAAGCCCUUGCCACGAUCCUCCCGCUCAGUCGGGGCGCUCGAGCUAGUACCUGCAACGAGGGUGUGAGAACUACGAAUAGUUCCCAGUGGGUUCGGCCGCCGACUCCGCCGAUCUACCCACUAGGUCUUAAGCAGGCAUAGAGAGAUAUAUAUAUAUGUGCAAUAUAUAUAAAACUAAACUGAACGGAAGGCAGGUAUGUAAACAACUAUAUCAAGCUAUGCCUCAAUCUGGAAUCAUGAAUGCAUGAACAAUAAAUAAAGCUGGGUAAGUAAGCAACUAUCAACAUCUACAACAGCUAUCAUAGUAAGCUAUAAAACAUGCUACUAGGUAAGCAAAUAAGCUGAUAUGAACAAUGAAUAGCUACUAUGAACAUCAAUCAUGGGUAAGACUCAAUGGGUAACCCAAUCUCCAAGUGAACACAAGGUUCACAAGCAAGGCUCACAUAUCAAUCUCCUAGGGAUGUCGAGCUGGACUAUCCCCGAGUACGCCUGCGGAUAACAAGCGGCUAUCCGAGCAGCAAGCAGGCUGCCUCUCUAGUGACCAAACUCCGGAGCGCACAACUUGAGGGGAGCGACCCCACCAAGCGCAGACAGGCAAUGUGAGCAAGAUCAUCUCACGAACAACAACAACCCUUUGAGGGUAAUAUCAUCAUGAAAAUAAGGUAUACUUGUACCCAAUCUCAUAGUGUCUCAACUACAUUAGUGUUCUAAUAUCAAGGUCAUCAACAAUCAUAUGUCACUCGUCAUAGUUUUCUAAAUAGAUGCCACUCGUCAUUUAGACUCAUUUUCAACACCAGUUAUACCAUACUAGUCCUUUAGCAACAUAAGCAUCAAUCAUCACAUAUAGGGUCUAGGUUUUCAUCAAACCAUCAUCAUGCAUACUAGAUCGUGAACCAACCAAGCAAGGUAUAUUGAGCUACUAGCAUGCAAGUAUAAGCAACAAUAAUCAUUUUCUAACCCUAUAUGUAUAUGCACAAUAUGCAAAUAGAUCAAAUUAAAUUUAGACAUAGAAGGUGGCCCGAUGACUUCGGGAUGGCACUCCCCCACCUUAGGUGAUGCCAAAAACACUCCGAGACGCGUUCUCGUGCUAGUCUUGUCGCCGCUUAAUUUUCGUUGGGUUAGCUUUAACCCUAUAGCACCUCAAAUGGCGAUAUCUUCGUGCCCACUCGUCGGAUCGACGAACCGUUUUCGCCUACGCGUUUAUAAGUAUAGAAAUUUGGUUUCUAACCCCUCAAAAGAGAUCAAACCCUAAUAUUUGCAAAAUCCCCAAAUCAAGCCCUAGGUUUAGCAACAAUAGAGAAAUCAUGGUUUCAAGCUUCAAAUUUGAGAUUGAACCUUCUCUUAAGCUCCAAUGGUUUACAUUUGAACCACUCUUAAGCAACAAAACCCUUUUUAAAAACCUAGGUUUAACAUCUAUGGGGAAACCAUUGGUGCUAGCUUCAAUGUGAGCUAGAUCCAUCAUCUCUAAACUCAUUAGGUUCCAUUUGAACCAAUUAAAGCAACAAAAACCAUCCAAACCCUAGAAAUCCCAAGUUACCAUGAAAGGGGUUGAGGCUUACCUCUAGGGUUUGCUCCAAAGCAAGCCCUAAGCCAAGAAUGAGGUGAAGAAGAGCUCCCAAACCUUCUUCUCCUUCUUCUUCUUCCUUUUCUUCCUCUCUUUUUCCUUCCUUUUCCUUCUCUUUUCCUUUUCUCCUUCUAUUCGGUUAGAGAGAGAGAGAGUAGAGAGAGAGUGAGCUGAGGAGAGUGAGAGGGAUCAGCUGAGAGAGAGGGGUUAUAACACUCUCUAAUGUAACAAUAUCCAAAAGAGCCCCUCUAUUUUCUGUUUUUGCAACUUAACCUACUGUUCGUGCGCCCUUGUACCGGUACACGGGACCUUGUACCGGUACAAGGUCUGGGUGACAGCAAAACAGAGCGCAACCCGAGCCUCGGGUUUCUUUGUUUCGCAGGUCUUGUACCGGUACAAGCCAGCCUUGUACCGGUACAGCGCCUGAAGCCUUCGAACCCGAGAGCUGCGCACCCUGGCUGCGAUGGUUGUACCGGUACAGCCAUCACCCUUGUACCGGUACAACAGCUCCAGAAUGCUGUUUUAACUUCGUUUCGGCUCCGCUUCGCGCCGAUUGGUGUCCAAACCAUUUCAACACCUUUAGAACUCAUUUUUGCACGUUCAAACUCGUUGAAAUGCCAAAUGGAACUUGUCCAAAUCGUUUAAUCGCCCACUUUGGCCCAUUUGGCCAAAGUUAGCCAACGUCGUCGAAUUUCGAUAUCUUACAUUCUCCACCCUUUAAAAGGAGUUUCGUCCUCGAAACAACUAGCUCGUAAAUCGAACUUAAACUCUUACCUCAAUCCUCGAAUAAGUGAGGAUGAUUCGCCUUCAUCUGGUCCUCGAGUUCCCAAGUGGCUUCGCGAUCGUCGUGAUUGCUCCACCGGACUUUAACAUAGGGAAUUUCUCGAUUCCUUAGCUUACGCACCUCUCGAGCCAAAAUCUCUACCGGAAACUCUUCAUAGCUCAAAUCAUCUUGAAGUUCCGGCGGCUCGUAUAGCAUCGCAUGCUCGGGGUCGUGAAUAUACUUGCAGAGGUUGGAGACGUGGAACACAUCGUGCACACCCGCAAGCUUCGGGGGCAAUGCAAGUCGAUACGCCACCGUCCCAACACGCUCUAAGAUCUCGUAGGGGCCAAUGUAACGAGGGCUCAGCUUUUCUCGCACCCCAAAUCGCUUUACGCCUCGCAUCGGCGAAACCUUCAAGAAUACGCGGUCACCCACCGCGAACUCUAAAUCUCGCCGGCGUCUAUCCGCAUAGCUUUACUGUCUCGACUGCGCCGUGAGCAAUCUUUUGCGAGCAAGACGGACUUUCUCUUCCGCUUCUCACAACACAUCUGGGCCGAACUCCGCACGCUCACCUACAUCGCUCCAAUGUAUAGGAGAUCGACAUAUCCCCCUAUAGAGAGCCUCAAACGGUGCCAUCUCCACACUAGUAUGAUAACUAUUAUUGUAGGCGAACUCGGCCAUCGAUAGGUAGUCACACCAACUUCCUUUAUAGUCAAUGACACACGCUCGCAACAUAUCCUCCAGAGUUUGUAUAGUUCUCUCUGUUUGUCCAUCGGUCUGAGGAUGAAAUGCGGUGCUAAAGUCGAGCCGUGUGCCAAGGGCUUCCUGCAGGCUCUUCCAGAAAUGCGAAGUGAACCGGGGGUCACGAUCCGACACGAUCGAUUUCGGCACCCCAUGCAGUUUCACUAUCUCGUCAAGGUAUACCUGUGCUAACUUGUCACCCGACCACGUGGUAUGGAUCGGUAAGAAGUGAGCCGACUUCGUCAAUCGAUCCACAAUUACCCAAAUUGCAUCGUGGCCGCCUUUUGAGCGGGGUAAGCCGACCACGAAGUCCAUCGAUAUAUCCUCCCAUUUCCAAACGGGGAUUGGUAGGCUUUGAAGCUUUCUCGUUGGAAAUCGAUGCUCGGCCUUCACUUGUUGGCAUGCUAGGCACUUCGCCACAAAGCGUCCGAUGUCGGUUUUCAUUCUCGGCCACCAGUAGUGUGUUUUUAGGCUUUGGUACAUCUUGGUGCCGCCCGGGUGACCAGUAUACGGGGACCAAUGCGACUCCUGGAGUAUAAGCUUGCGAAGCUCUUCAUCAACGGGUACACACCUCCGGUUCCGAAACCGAAGCGUGCCAUCGGCAUCUACAUUGAACUCGCCGUCAUGACCUUCCUCGAUGUUUCGCCGCACCUUUUGGAGUUCUGGGUCCACAAGUUGCAGAUCUUUGAUCCUCUCCAACAAGGUCGGUUGGACAACGAGUGCCAUCAACUGAGUCGGGACCUCGGGAGCGACCACUUCAAGGUCCAAUCGCUCCAUAUCCAACCCUAGGGGUUUUUGCUGGGUAACAUCGAAAGCGAGGUUCUUCGUCGUCUUCCUACUCAGCGCAUCUGCGACCACAUUUGCCUUCCCGGGGUGGUAACGGAUAUCAACAUCAUAAUCCUUAAGCAAUUCCAACCACCGCCGCUGUCGCAUAUUGAGCUCUUUCUGUGUGAACAGAUACUUCAAGCUUUUAUGGUCAGUGUAAAUCUCGCAAUGAGCACCAUAUAGAUAAUGCCUCCAAAGCUUCAAGGUAAAGAUCACCGCCGCCAACUCCAGGUCGUGAAUGGGAUAAUUCUUUUCAUAGCUUUUUAGCUGACGGGAUGCAUAAGCAAUAACCUUCCCGCCCUGCAUCAACACACACCCCAAGCCCAAGUAAGAAGCAUCACUGUAGACGACGUAGUCUUGCCCCUGCACCGGUAAGGCGAGUACCGGAGUCGAAGUUAACCUUUGCUUCAACUCUUUAAAGCUCCGGUCACACUCGUCAUUCCAAACAAACUUGGUGCCUUUUUGCGUCAAACGGGUAAGUGGAGUCACAAUCUUAGAGAACCCCUCCACAAACCGUCGAUAAUAACCGGCUAGGCCCACAAAACUCCGGACCUCGGUAACAUUUGUCGGGCGCGGCCAAUUCUCAAUAGCCUCCACUUUCCUCGGGUCAACNNNNNNNNNNNNNNNNNNNNNNNNNNNNNNNNNNNNNNNNNNNNNNNNNNNNNNNNNNNNNNNNNNNNNNNNNNNNNNNNNNNNNNNNNNNNNNNNNNNNNNNNNNNNNNNNNNNNNNNNNNNNNNNNNNNNNNNNNNNNNNNNNNNNNNNNNNNNNNNNNNNNNNNNNNNNNNNNNNNNNNNNNNNNNNNNNNNNNNNNNNNNNNNNNNNNNNNNNNNNNNNNNNNNNNNNNNNNNNNNNNNNNNNNNNNNNNNNNNNNNNNNNNNNNNNNNNNNNNNNNNNNNNNNNNNNNNNNNNNNNNNNNNNNNNNNNNNNNNNNNNNNNNNNNNNNNNNNNNNNNNNNNNNNNNNNNNNNNNNNNNNNNNNNNNNNNNNNNNNNNNNNNNNNNNNNNNNNNNNNNNNNNNNNNNNNNNNNNNNNNNNNNNNNNNNNNNNNNNNNNNNNNNNNNNNNNNNNNNNNNNNNNNNNNNNNNNNNNNNNNNNNNNNNNNNNNNNNNNNNNNNNNNNNNNNNNNNNNNNNNNNNNNNNNNNNNNNNNNNNNNNNNNNNNNNNNNNNNNNNNNNNNNNNNNNNNNNNNNNNNNNNNNNNNNNNNNNNNNNNNNNNNNNNNNNNNNNNNNNNNNNNNNNNNNNNNNNNNNNNNNNNNNNNNNNNNNNNNNNNNNNNNNNNNNNNNNNNNNNNNNNNNNNNNNNNNNNNNNNNNNNNNNNNNNNNNNNNNNNNNNNNNNNNNNNNGAGAACGCCUGCGGAUAACAAGCGGCUAUCCGAGCAGCAAGCAGGCUGCCUCUCUAGUGACCAAACUCCGGAGCGCACAACUUGAGGGGAGCGACCCCACCAAGCGCAGACAGGCAAUGUGAGCAAGAUCAUCUCACGAACAACAACAACCCUUUGAGGGUAAUAUCAUCAUGAAAGCAAGGUAUACUUGUACCCAAUCUCUUAGUGUCUCAACUACACUAGUGUUCUAAUAUCAAGGUCAUCAACAAUCAUAUGUCACUCGUCAUAGUUUUCUAACUAGAUGCCACUCGUCAUUUAGACUCAUUUUCAACACCAGUUAUACCAUACUAGUACUUUAGCAACAUAAGCAUCAAUCAUCACAUAUAGGGUCUAGGUUUUCAUCAAACCAUCAUCAUGCAUACUAGAUCGUGAACCAACCAAGCAAGGUAUAUUGAGCUACUAGCAUGCAAGUAUAAGCAACAAUAAUCAUUUUCUAACCCUAUAUGUAUAUGCACAAUAUGCAAAUAGAUCAAAUUAAACUUAGACAUAGAAGGUGGCCCGAUGACUUCGGGAUGGCACUCCCCCACCUUAGGUGAUGCCAAAAACACUCCGAGACGCGUUCUCGUGCUAGUCUUGUCGCCGCUUAAUUUCUGUUGGGUUAGCUUUAACCCUAUAGCACCUCAAAUGGCGAUAUCUUCGUGCCCACUCGUCGGAUCGACGAACCGUCUUCGCCUACGCGUUUAUAAGCAUAGGAAUUAGGGUUCUAACCCCUCAAAAGAGAUCAAACCCUAAUAUUUGCAAAAUCCCCAAAUCAAGCCCUAGGUUUAGCGACAAUAGAGAAAUCAUGGUUUCAAGCUUCAAACUUGAGAUUGAACCUUCUCUUAAGUUCCAAUGGUUUACCCUUGAACCACUCUUAAGCAACAAAACCCUUUUUAAAAACCUAGGUUUAACAUCUAUGGGGAAACCAUUGGUGCUAGCUUCAAUGUGAGCUAGAUCCAUCAUCUCUAAACUCAUUAGGUUCCAUUUGAACCAAUUAAAGCAACAAAAACCAUCCAAACCCUAGAAAUCCCAAGUUACCAUGAAAGGGGUUGAGGCUUACCUCUAGGGUUUGCUCCAAAGCAAGCCCUAAGCCAAGAAUGAGGUGAAGAAGAGCUCCCAAACCUUCUUCUCCUUCUUCUUCUUCCUUUUCUUCCUCUCUUUUUCCUUCCUUUUCCUUCUCUUUUCCUUUUCUCCUUCUAUUCGGUUAGAGAGAGAGAGAGUAGAGAGAGAGUGAGCUGAGGAGAGUGAGAGGGAUCAGCUGAGAGAGAGGGGUUAUAACACUCUCUAAUGUAACAAUAUCCAAAAGAGCCCCUCUAUUUUCUGUUUUUGCAACUUAACCUACUGUUCGUGCGCCCUUGUACCGGUACACGGGACCUUGUACCGGUACAAGGUUUGGGUGACAGCAAAACAGAGCGCAACCCGAGCCUCGGGUUUCUUUGUUUCGCAGGUCUUGUACCGGUACAAGCCAGCCUUGUACCGGUACAAGCCAGCCUUGUACCGGUACAGCGCCUGAAGCCUUCGAACCCGAGAGCUGCGCACCCUGGCUGCAAUGGUUGUACCGGUACAGCCAUCACCCUUGUACCGGUACAACAGCUCCAGAAUGCUGUUUUAACUUCGUUUCGGCUCCGCUUCGCGCCGAUUGGUGUCCAAACCAUUCCAACACAUUUAGAACUCAUUUUUACACGUUCAAACUCGUUGAAAUGCCAAAUGGAACUUGUCCAAAUCGUUUAAUCGCCCACUUUGGCCCAUUUGGCCAAAGUUAGCCAACGUCGUCGAAUUUCGAUAUCUUACACGGAUUCAAGUGGUAUGAGUUCUCGACUUGAAGUGGUUGUGUUGGGCGGCCGACAGCAUGACGCUAAGAGUUUAGAACAAGUACACUUGUGUGCUUUCGCUUAGUUUGCGAUGUUGGGUCGCGUCGUCUCGUAAUCGCGAUGAAAUUAACGGGUUAAGGUAAUUAACCAAGUUGUGUUUUAGGAGCUAAUGGCACCAAGGAGACGCUACGUGCGUAGAUCCGUUCUGGCACCACCUCCUGGGAUGCUCGAGCAAGCUGGGUCUAACGAGGUGCANNNNNNNNNNNNNNNNNNNNNNNNNNNNNNNNNNNNNNNNNNNNNNNNNNNNNNNNNNNNNNNNNNNNNNNNNNNNNNNNNNNNNNNNNNNNNNNNNNNNCACUGUGAUCAGAACUGACCCACGAUCACCGUGCUCACCUCCGGAGGCAUCAGGACAGCCUCGGAUCGCCGGAUAAGCGUGCGCAAACCCAAAACAGCAGCCAAACAGGCUCGACAGGGUCGACACUGCCGAAACAGCGGAACGGAGUCUCCCCGGCAGAAUCUAAGGUGAGCACGAUGAUAAGCAAUUUUCUACGAUCAUCGUGCUCCCUUUCGCAGAGAUCGGGGAGGCUCAGGAAGCUCAGAACAGUAAACCAUCCCAAACUAAGCCCUAUUUCGGGCUUGGCCGGAGCAAGGUUGCUCCGGCCGGCCUCCGGCGGCACGGCGGCGCGCGUGGAGGCCAGGGAUGGGUGCGGGGGAGGUGAGAGUGAAGGCUUGCUCACUCAGUUGGCGGUGAGAGCAGGCGGCGGCGACCGGCAGAACCAACCAGCCCGCACGAGCUAAAGCUCGGUUUCCAGGUAGCUGCGCGCAAGGCGGCGCCGGGCGCUCGGGACGCGGCGGAGGUUCGCUGAGGCCGGAGGAGGCGGCACGGAUGCUCGCGGCGGUGCAGCGCGAGAAGAAGCGCGCAGCUCACCUCGGCCCGCACAAGUCUGGGGCGCCGCGGGCUGGCCCAGGCGGCGCGCGGCUCGCUGGGGUGGCGGCGACCGGCGAGGAGCGUCGCGAGGGUGCGGGGACAGCAGCGGAAGCGGGCUCAGGCGCGGCGGCCCGCGGGGAGGCCGUACGCAGGCCUAGGUCUGGGCUCGACCUAGGGAGCAGCAGGCGGCCAGCUCAGGUGCGGCGGCGGUCGACGGGGACGCUUCGAUGAGGUCGGGGCGACGCCGGCAUGGUGCAGGGAGGCCGCUGCAAGCCUCGGCCUGGGCUCUAACCCGAGAAGAAAAGAGAGAGAUGGAGAGAGAGAUGGAGAGAGAGAAGAAAGGUGGCUGCGGUGGUGGCUGGCCGGCCGGGUUCAGUAGGCGCGCGGCCUGGGCGCAUGGCUAGGGCAGGGGAGCGAGGUGAGGGUGGCUGGGGUUGCGGCAAGGCUAGGGUUAGGGUUUCAAUGACAAACCUGAACAAGCUUAUAUACAUGGUGCAACUUUGCAAUUAAGUCCACAAACCUCAGUAUUUAAUACUGAGUCCAUCACAGCGUAUGUAAAACGCGCGAACACCCCUCCAUGUGCGAUCCCACGCGAAACGGUACAUAAAAUAUUGCAACUUUUGCGAAAUUAUCGUUUUGCCAUUACAGACUCUCCUCGACAACGCGCAAUCUCCGCAGAUCCGUCCGUCAGAUUUGCGAACGGAUUGCACCAGUGCGAUCAGCACCUCGUAGACAAUAGAUCUACGAUUUUGUUCACCUCGAACGGUCACGGAUUCGCGACGAAAUCCAUUCUCUCUCCAAGGCCAAAAAGACGCACAAUUACAUAUAAAACGCGUAUUUUUGGAUUUUCUCGAAAUCCGUGCGUCAAACCCAAAAUCAGUCAGCGCCAUUAGUUCCAGAACAGUUGAACCGAUCGAAACGAGCUAUUGGACCGCUAGGAACGGAGUCCGAUACGAGCCUGAAGCCAACUUCACACCGUAGGCUUUCCGGAAAUCGAGUUACUAUUCACUUUAAGUGAACUUGGAAAUCGCAUAGAAUCUCCGUUUUAACUCGAUUUCUCCCAAAUUUGACGAGUGUUUUGUAAUUAAAUUACACACAAAAACAUCGUAACAGAGAGUUUAGUUGCACCGUAAAAAUCUCAGUCCUUACAGCUUGUUUUGCUAAUCAUUUAUCUACAUCUACAACCUUCUUUUAUUUUUUAUGCUAUUUCUAUCCACAAAUCAACUUAAAUUAUUUAGCCUCAUUCAAAUCCAACUUAUAACAAAAUAUAACUUAAUAGACAAAUUAAAGCUUAAUAAUGAUCUAAUUUAACAAUUGCACUCUAAAAUUAAACUGUGCAUGAUCAUCUCUGAAUAUAAAUUGAGUUUUUUUGUUGAAUUCUUAACCUUUUCUAUCUAAUUUUAUCAGGUCCUUUUCAUCUAAAACUCUAUUAUAUAUAUCAAACAAUAUAUAUCAUGCCACCUUUCCAAAUCUUAACCUGGUAAACAAGGUCUAAGAAUAAAUACAAUAUGUUGUUCAUAAGAAGUUUUAAUAUAUUGCCUUAAAACAUUCAAUGCAUAGUUUAUAUUUUAUUUGAUAUAAAUAGAAAAUAACUUGAAUGUGUACUCUUAUUUGCAGUUUAAUUCAAUUUUCUGAUUUCGAUGAAGAAGAGAAGUAAAUAUUUUUCCAGCAAAACUAUCACAAGAUCUAAUUUCUAUAAUAUUUUAAGGAUAUGUAUAAUAGACUUAUUUUAUUUUGAACUUUAUAGUAUGGACUAUAUACUAUGAAUUUUAGAAUUUGAUAAAAUUCUAAAAUUUCUAACCACAUUUAUUGAAGAAUAGUGCUAUUUUGGAGCCAUAUAACUUUCAUUCAAAAUUUUAUAAUUUAGAAAAAUUAGUAUUUAAAAUUCUAACUAUAAUCUUAUUUUUUAAAAUUUUGAAUUUUGAAUUUCAUUAUCUACCCGCUGCAUCGCGCGGGUUUCUGCACUAGUUAUUAUUAUGAGGAUGAAGGGUUUCUUACCACAUGGCAAGAAAUAUUGUUGCUUCAUUUAGGUUAAUAUUAUUUAUUAUAUAUUAUAUAUUAUAUUUAUAUUUUAUUUUAUAUUAUUAUUAUGAGGAUGAAGGAUUUUUUGCCACGUGGUAAGAAAUAUUGUGGCUUUAUUUAGGUUAAAGGUUAAUAUUUAGGUUAAUAGAUAAUAGAAGAUUAAUAGAUAUAGAUAGAUAUAUAGAUAUAGAUUAUUCUAAAUAGUCAUUGCAAGUA